rnacentral:tRNA from 1 species
UCCCUGGUGGCUCAAAGGUUAAAGCGUUUGCCUCCAAUGCAGGAGACCCAGGUUUGAUCCCUGGGUUGGGAA